UACAAUACAAUUUUAUUUCGAUCUUUCGUCUACAACACAAAUAAAAAGAACACAGACAAGGUCAACUGAAAGAUCGGGAAAGUGGGCAAAACCUAUAUAAAGGUUUAUAACGAACGCUGUAACCAGCGAUUAUGCCCAUUCACCCACAUUCACACACGUGAAACACACCAAGACAAUCAUACUAGAAUAAAUUAAAGAACAGAGUACAUAAUCACGAGAAAAUAAAUUUCACGGGCAAAGCUUACUUGUCAUGUUGUAAAUAUUUUGAUGAGUGAAAGUCGUGAUUAAUACAAAAACAUUUAGAAGUUAUGUGACGGUGCCUGUGCCGAAAUGCGAAAACCAAUAAUAAUAAUUAAUUGAUUAGCUGCUGUUUUUUGUAAACAAAUAAAACUAAAAAGUAAACAACAAACAUAAAAACACGAAAACUAGUUUCGGGCGUUGCUUCUCUUGUUGCAAAAUUGGUUCGAAUUCGUAGAAAUUGGAGUAAAUGUUUUUAUUCUUUGCAAUGUCCAACAUUCCGGAGCUUCCAUCUUGUUGUGUUGAACAUCGAUUGUUCCUAUGAAUUGUUUCUCUCGCAUGAAUUUACUGACCAAUCCAGUGUCGGCAGCUAAGUCGAUUAUUUCUGUUUCCUCGAAGUCCCUUAGAUUCAAUCACUUGUUACAAGUGAUCAACGCAAUUCUUAUCGAAGCAGCUCCAAUGUAUAAAAGAUAUAAAAGCUAGUCUGUAUUCAAUCCUGUUUGUCCGGUUUUCCAAGUUUUAGGCCAAAUAUUUUUCA